rnacentral:rRNA from 1 species
UACGAAGGGGGCCAGCGUUGCUCGGAAUCACUGGGCGUAAAGCGCACGUAGGCGGAUUGCUAAGUCAGGGGUGAAAUCCUGGAGCUCAACUCCAGAACUGCCCUUGAUACUGGCGGUCUCGAGUCCGGGAGAGGUGAGUGGAACUGCGAGUGUAGAGGUGAAAUUCGUAGAUAUUCGCAAGAACACCAGUGGCGAAGGCGGCUCACUGGCCCGAUACUGACGCUGAGGCACGAAAGCGUGGGGAGCAAACAGG